rnacentral:rRNA from 1 species
GACGUAGGGGGCCAGCGUUGUUCGGAAUUACUGGGUGUAAAGGGUUCGUAGGCGGUGCGGCAAGUCGGGAGUGAAAUCUCUGGGCUUAACCCAGAGGCUGCUUCCGAAACUGCUGUGCUUGAGUGUGGGAGAGGCGCGUGGAAUUCCUGGUGUAGCGGUGAAAUGCGCAGAUAUCAGGAAGAACACCUAUGGCGAAGGCAGCUCUCUGGGACGGUACUGACGCUGAGACGCGAAAGCGUGGGGAGCGAACAGG